rnacentral:rRNA from 1 species
AGUGAACGCUGGCGGUAGGCCUAACACAUGCAAGUCGAACGGCAGCACAGUAAGAGCUUGCACUUACGGGUGGCGAGUGGCGGACGGGUGAGGAAUGCAUCGGAAUCUACUUUUUCGUGGGGGAUAACGUAGGGAAACUUACGCUAAUACCGCAUACGACCUACGGGUGAAAGCAGGGGAUCUUCGGACCUUGCGCGAUUGAAUGAGCCGAUGUCGGAUUAGCUAGUUGGCGGGGUAAAGGCCCACCAAGGCGACGAUCCGUAGCUGGUCUGAGAGGAUGAUCAGCCACACUGGAACUGAGACACGGUCCAGACUCCUACGGGAGGCAGCAGUGGGGAAUAUAGGACAAUGGGCGCAAGCCUGAUCCAGCCAUACCGCGUGGGUGAAGAAGGCCUUCGGGUUGUAAAGCCCUUUUGUUGGGAAAGAAAAGCAGCAGGUUAAUACCCCGCUGUUCUGACGGUACCCAAAGAAUAAGCACCGGCUAACUUCGUG